rnacentral:rRNA from 1 species
GGGAAGAACGUUAUUAGUAGGAAAUGGCUAAUAAGUGACGGUACCGUUACCAGAAAGGGACGGCGUAACUAACGUGCCAGCAGCCGCGGUAAUACGUAGGUCCCGAGCGUUAUCCGGAAUUAUUGGGCGUAAAGGGCACGUAGGCGGACAAAUAAGUUUGAUGUCAAAUAUGAUGGCUCAACCAUCAAGAGGCGUUGAAAACUGUUUAUCUAGAAUCUCGGAGAGGUAAGUGGAAUUCCAUGUGUAGCGGUGGAAUGCGUAGAUAUAUGGAGGAACACCAAUGGGCGAAGGCAGCUUACUGGACGAAGAUUGACGCUGAGGUGCGAAAGCGUGGGGUAGCAAACAGGAUUAGAUACCCUGGUAG